GACGAACGCUGGCGGCGUGCCUAAUACAUGCAAGUAGAACGCUGAAGAGAGGAGCUUGCUCUUCUUGGAUGAGUUGCGAACGGGUGAGUAACGCGUAGGUAACCUGCCUUGUAGCGGGGGAUAACUAUUGGAAACGAUAGCUAAUACCGCAUAACAAUGGAUGACACAUGUCAUUUAUUUGAAAGGGGCAAUUGCUCCACUACAAGAUGGACCUGCGUUGUAUUAGCUAGUAGGUGAGGUAACGGCUCACCUAGGCGACGAUACAUAGCCGACCUGAGAGGGUGAUCGGCCACACCGGGACUGAGACACGGCCCAGACUCCUACGGGAGGCAGCAGUAGGGAAUCUUCGGCAAUGGGGGCAACCCUGACCGAGCAACGCCGCGUGAGUGAAGAAGGUUUUCGGAUCGUAAAGCUCUGUUGUAAGUCAAGAACGAGUGUGAGAGUGGAAAGUUCACACUGUGACGGUAGCUUACCAGAAAGGGACGGCUAACUACGUGCCAGCAGCCGCGGUAAUACGUAGGUCCCGAGCGUUGUCCGGAUUUAUUGGGCGUAAAGCGAGCGCAGGCGGUUUGAUAAGUCUGAAGUUAAAGGCUGUGGCUCAACCAUAGUUCGCUUUGGAAACUGUCAAACUUGAGUGCAGAAGGGGAGAGUGGAAUUCCAUGUGUAGCGGUGAAAUGCGUAGAUAUAUGGAGGAACACCGGUGGCGAAAGCGGCUCUCUGGUCUGUAACUGACGCUGAGGCUCGAAAGCGUGGGGAGCGAACAGGAUUAGAUACCCUGGUAGUCCACGCCCUAAACGAUGUCAAUUAGCUGUUGGGCAACUUGAUUGUUCAGUAGCGUAGCUAACGCGUGAAAUUGACCGCCUGGGGAGUACGGUCGCAAGAUUAAAACUCAAAGGAAUUGACGGGGACCCGCACAAGCGGUGGAUGAUGUGGAUUAAUUCGAUGCAACGCGAAGAACCUUACCUGGUCUUGACAUGUACGGAAUCCUCCAGAGACGGAGGAGUGCCUUCGGGAACCGUAACACAGGUGCUGCAUGGCUGUCGUCAGCUCGUGUCGUGAGAUGUUGGGUUAAGUCCCGCAACGAGCGCAACCCUUGUCAUUAGUUGCCAUCAUUUAGUUGGGCACUCUAAUGAGACUGCCGGUGACAAGCCGGAGGAAGGUGGGGAUGACGUCAAGUCCUCAUGGCCCUUAUGACCAGGGCUUCACACGUCAUACAAUGGUCGGUACAGAGGGUAGCCAAGCCGCGAGGUGGAGCCAAUCUCACAAAACCGAUCGUAGUCCGGAUUGCACUCUGCAACUCGAGUGCAUGAAGUCGGAAUCGCUAGUAAUCGCAGGUCGGCAUACUGCGGUGAAUACGUUCCCGGGUCU
rnacentral:rRNA from 1 species